CAUGCGGCGUUCCUAAACAUGCAAGUCGAGCGGACAGAUGGGAGCUUGCUCCCUGAUGUUAGCGGCGGACGGGUGAGUAACACGUGGGUAACCUGCCUGUAAGACUGGGAUAACUCCGGGAAACCGGGGCUAAUACCGGAUGCUUGUUUGAACCGCAUGGUUCAAACAUAAAAGGUGGCUUCGGCUACCACUUACAGAUGGACCCGCGGCGCAUUAGCUAGUUGGUGAGGUAAUGGCUCACCAAGGCAACGAUGCGUAGCCGACCUGAGAGGGUGAUCGGCCACACUGGGACUGAGACACGGCCCAGACUCCUACGGGAGGCAGCAGUAGGGAAUCUUCCGCAAUGGACGAAAGUCUGACGGAGCAACGCCGCGUGAGUGAUGAAGGUUUUCGGAUCGUAAAGCUCUGUUGUUAGGGAAGAACAAGUACCGUUCGAAUAGGGCGGUACCUUGACGGUACCUAACCAGAAAGCCACGGCUAACUACGUGCCAGCAGCCGCGGUAAUACGUAGGUGGCAAGCGUUGUCCGGAAUUAUUGGGCGUAAAGGGCUCUUUUUUCGGUUUCUUAAGUCUGAUGUGAAAGCCCCCGGCUCAACCGGGGAGGGUCAUUGGAAACUGGGGAACUUGAGUGCAGAAGAGGAGAGUGGAAUUCCACGUGUAGCGGUGAAAUGCGUAGAGAUGUGGAGGAACACCAGUGGCGAAGGCGACUCUCUGGUCUGUAACUGACGCUGAGGAGCGAAAGCGUGGGGAGCGAACAGGAUUAGAUACCCUGGUAGUCCACGCCGUAAACGAUGAGUGCUAAGUGUUAGGGGGUUUCCGCCCCUUAGUGCUGCAGCUAACGCAUUAAGCACUCCGCCUGGGGAGUACGGUCGCAAGACUGAAACUCAAAGGAAUUGACGGGGGCCCGCACAAGCGGUGGAGCAUGUGGUUUAAUUCGAAGCAACGCGAAGAACCUUACCAGGUCUUGACAUCCUCUGACAAUCCUAGAGAUAGGACGUCCCCUUUCGGGGGCAGAGUGACAGGUGGUGCAUGGAUGUCGUCAGCUCGUGUCGUGAGAUGUGGGUUAAGUCCCCGCAACGAGCGCAACCCGUGAUCUUAGCUGCCAGCAUUUCAGUUGGCACAGCUGAACUGGCCGGUGACAACCGAGAAGGGUGGGAAUGAAA
rnacentral:rRNA from 1 species